UGCAGUCGAGCGCGAAUAGGGGCAACCCUUAGUAGAGCGGCGCACGGGUGCGUAACACGUGGAUAAUCUGCCUGGAUGCUCGGGAUAACCAGUCGAAAGAUUGGCUAAUACCGGAUAAGCCCACGGUUUCUUCGGAGACUGAGGGAAAAGGUGGCCUCUGUAUACAAGCUAUCACAACCAGAUGAGUCCGCGGCCCAUCAGCUAGUUGGCGGGGUAAUGGCCCACCAAGGCAACGACGGGUAGCUGGUCUGAGAGGACGAUCAGCCACACUGGAACUGAGACACGGUCCAGACUCCUACGGGAGGCAGCAGUGGGGAAUUUUGCGCAAUGGGCGAAAGCCUGACGCAGCAACGCCGCGUGUGUGAUGAAGGUCUUUGGAUUGUAAAGCACUUUCGACCGGGAAGAAAACCCGUUGGCUAACAUCCAACGGCUUGACGGUACCGGGAGAAGAAGCACCGGCUAACUCUGUGCCAGCAGCCGCGGUAAUACAGAGGGUGCAAGCGUUGUUCGGAAUUAUUGGGCGUAAAGCGCGUGUAGGCGGCGUGACAAGUCGGGUGUGAAAGCCCUCAGCUCAACUGAGGAAGUGCGCCCGAAACUGUCGUGCUUGAGUGCCGGAGAGGGUGGCGGAAUUC
rnacentral:rRNA from 1 species